GCCUUCGUGGAGUAAGGUUAACUCACUCCCGAUGCGUGGCACGUUGCGUGAUGUUCUGGGAGAGUCGGUGGUUCAAAUCCACCCGAGGGCC